UACGUAGGGUGCAAGCGUUGUCCGGAAUUAUUGGGCGUAAAGAGCUCGUAGGCGGUCUGUUGCGUCGGCUGUGAAAACCCGGGGCUCAACUCCGGGCCUGCAGCCGAUACGGGCAGACUAGAGUUCGGCAGGGGAGACUGGAAUUCCGGGUGUAGCGGUGGAAUGCGUAGAGAUCCGGAAGAACACCGGUGGCGAAGGCGGCCUGCUGGGCAGUUUAGCUGACACUGAGGCGCGACAGCGUGGGGAGCAAACAGG
rnacentral:rRNA from 1 species